rnacentral:lncRNA from 1 species
UACUAGUAAAUGAAAAAUAUAGUAAAGUAUUUACAUUUAACCUAAGCACUUAUACUUGAAGUCAUUAGAUUAUUCAUGGUGUGUGUAUGUGUGUGUGUGUGUGUGUGUGUGUGUGUGUGUGUGUGUGUGUAUGUGUGUGGUACAUGGAUCUGAGGUGAGUGAUGGGUGUCUGUGGGUGUGAAAAUGUGGAGGACAGGGGAAAACAUUGGGGUCUCCUGUCACUCUUUACCUACUAUCUUGAGACAGGGUCUCUCACUGAACUGGUAGCUUGCUCUUUUGAUUAGGCUUCCUUGUCAGUGAGCUCCCAGGAUCCACUUGACUGCUCCACGGAUGCUAGUUUACAGGCAUGUGGCUCUGUGGUGGAGAUUUUAAUUCAGAUUCUUAGGAUUGCAUAGCAAGCACUCUUACCCACUGCUCCUUCUUCUCAGUUCCUAUUCACAGUACUGAAUACAAUGUAAAUGUUAUGCAAAUAGUUGUUAACAAUGUUAACAAUAGCUGGGCACCAUAGUGCACACCUGUAAUCCCUGCACUUUGGAGACAGAGGCAGAAAGAUCAGGAGUUCCAGCCUAUCCUCAGCUACACAGUGAUUUCAGAGCCAGCCUGGGCUACAUGAGAGUUUGACAUAACAAGAUAAAACAAAACAUGUAGCAGUGAUUUAUUUGGGCACACAAUGACAAAACAGUCCCUACCUGUUUAGUAUAGUUGCACUGUCCUCUACCCCCUGAGUAUCUAUCUGAAUCUUUGGUUGCUGAACUUCUAGUUAAGGCAGACUGACUGUGCUGUAUAAAGCUCUUAGCCUGAGGCCUGGCUUACAAAGGACAUUUAGUAAAUGGAUGUCAUUACUGUUGCUAUUAUGAAUGCCUUGAAGGGUAUUUCCACAGAGGGCAUUUCUGGAAGGAGUCUCAUUUGGCACUGGGUACAUCCUCAGGACCUAAAGACUGUUCUGUGAGAGUUGACCCUUAGGUUUCAGAUGUGCAGGGCAGAAUGUUCUUUGUAGUAGAGGGAUCCUUCCUUGAGAGCAAUCACAGUCCAUUCUGUGGUUUAGCAGCAGAGAAGAGCUGCACACACAAUCUGCAAGAGCUCAUCAGCUCGUGGUUUCUGAGUCACUGUUAGGUCAUUUCAGCUCCAAACAGGAGGCCUGGGCCGGAAGGGCAGUGGCUGGAGACAACUGGACCUUACCAGAGAUCCUCCUUCAGGAUCAGCCUCUGCAUGGAAGCCUAGCUAGGGCUGAGAGAUGCUCAGUAUUUGUUUCUAGGAUAAAAACAGAGGCCCUAGUGGAAAGGGUGCUCUCAGUAAGGUCCAGCUGCAGAGCUGGGCAGCUCCUGGGUUCUCUGCUCUCUUGUCCUAUGCUUGUCCACAGAUCCUGGUUGAAAGGAAAAGUAUUGGCUCAGGACCCUGAAGGCCAAGUUCUCAGCACAAAGGAGAUUUAUUUGCCCCGGAGGGACAGGGGGCAGGGAUAAUGGUCAAAGACAGAAGAUAGAGGAAGAGGGAGAAGGGGAAGGGAACCAGGGAAAGGGGACAGGGGUACUUGUUCCAGAGGGACAAAGGACUGUCUGGAUGGAGAGGAGACAGAUGUGGCACAUAGGUAAAUGGAAGUUUAUAAAAGUGCAAUGGGGAAACCCUGUGUUAGGAUGAGGUGUUUAAUUUUAAUUGGACAUGUUAAUUAGGUGAACCAAUGGGUGAUUUUGAUUGUUGGACUUCAAUACUUUGAUAGCUGGACCUUGGUAGUCAGCUUCAGGAGGAGGCAGUAGCCAUAAAAGGGAAUUGAGCUUGGGACUAGCUUCAGGAAUGUGAGGCAAACGUGAUAAGCACUACACUACAGAAACAACAUGCUUAGUUUCAGGAAUGUAAUCCAAUGGUUUUUAGCAAAGCUGAAGGAGAAGGAAGGGCAAGGCCUGCUGGAGUCACAUGCUGGAGUGGCUAGUUGUCCCUUCACUGAUGAGUUCUUCCUUGAGUUUGCCACAAGCUCACUUCUAGACUGGGUCAAGACAGGGGAAUGGUAGAGAGGAAUGGGCAGCAUGCUUAGAGGGUAUUGGAGUCCCAUUCUACAUGUGUCCCCAGGAAAGACAGAAAUAAAAGCAAGAAUAUCCAGGCUUGGUAGGAAGAAAUAAAGGCAGGUCACAGGCUUAAGAAAAAGGAGUCCCCAGAACAGAGAGCAGAAAGUAUGCCCUAUCUCAGGUGAAGCAUGUUUGGAGAUCCAAUAGAGAGAGCAGACUUUAGGACCUGGGAAAACCUCUGUCUCCAGUCUCCCUCAGAGCCACACAGCCAAAGGCCUUUUUAUCCUGCGGCCACUCUGAGGUGGCAUCCUGGACUCACUGGCUGACAAGGGUACUAGGAUGCUUAGGGUCUCAGAGGGGUAAAGAAGUGUGUGUGUGUGUGUGUGUGUGUGUGUGUGUGUGUGUGUGUGUGUUGCUGCUCCACUCCUGUCCACAUUGUAGCUCCUGUAGCCAUAAGUCGCCCUGUCCUGCACACGCUGUCCUGUCACACCUGGGGCCUUAUCUUGCAGGACUCAGCCAGCAAGACUUUACGUCUUGCUCUCUUUGGGCUCUGAGAGCCCUUUGGGAGAAGGAGGAUUUCAUUUGACUAAGUUCGUGCUCUGGUUGAGACCCUGAGCAGGAGCUGAGCAGCAGGAGUGAGAGGGGUUGAGAUGAAACACUGAGGAGUGGAGAGCUGGAGAGAAAGAAAUGAUUGGGAUGGAAGGACCAAGGGAGGAGAGAAGCACACAUGGAGCCUGGGAAGGAAUGGGGACAGGCAGGUAGAGGGUUCAUGGACAAAAGACAGGUGGGGUCAGAGGACAGAGUUGACCUGAACAGUCAAUAUAAUCCCAGAAAGAAUUCCCAUCAGUCAUAUAACACAGGGCGACAAGGGCUGCAAAUGGCUCCCUAAUGGGUGAGGUGCAGAUCUCUCCCGAAGACCCCACGUUGGCUUCCAGUCACUAAGUCAGAGUGAGUUUGGAGUACAGACCAGCUCUCCUCUUCUCAGAAAUGACAACAGGGAGGGUACAAAACAAGACAGAGUCACCAGUAAAAAAUCAACAAUAUAGCCCUGUAAGCAGAGCUCACACAGUUGGCUGACCAUUCAUCCUGACUAAAACCAAAACCAGCUCUCUCAUGAGAGACAGGACCAGGAGGUCAGGCCCUCUGCUUUUGGCAUCCCUACUUAGCUCAGGAGAAUAAAGAAAGGCUCUUUGUCACAUGUUUCUUCUCAAACCUUAAGCAGUAUCCUCAAAGGGCCUCAGUCCCUUAACCCUAAUGAGACCCCUCAAGAGGCCUGUACCUCUUACCCAGGAGAAGGCCCCUAAAGAGGCCUAUCCUCUUAAACAGAACUGAAUUCAGUAUGCAGACACACCUCCUAGUAGUGCCAGAAGGAUGACCCAUUUUGGUGUCUGGGCCACACAGCAGUUAUUACAAACCUUUCUCGGCUCAGUGGGAGGCAUGGAGUCCUGGGACAUCAUCUCUAUGGAGCAACUCCUCUAACUUCUCUACUUCCUAGGGCAGUCCAGAGAGAGGCCAAGUCCUGGGUGAGGGGGUACCUUUCUGGGGCCUCCAAAAAGUGAAAUAAUCCAUAUGAAAGACAUAGACAGCCGCAUGAAUUAAACCAAUUAAGAGUUGAGAACCCUUUCAUUUUGGCCAGAGUGGCCUGGAGUGGGGUAAUGCCUCAGUCUCUUGGUGUUGAAGCUCAGGGGUACAGCGUUUUUUAAAGGCAUAACCCACAGAAACCACAAUUACCUUCAAUGUCAGAUGAGGGUUGGGGCAGUGUAGCCUUGAAACAUCUGUUUAGGUGGAACACAGUGGCUACUUCAGAUACAACAUGACAAUUAAUUUUGAUUUGUACCUUUUUCAGUUAUCAUAGGUUAUGUUUAGUUUGUAUAAACAUUACUUCUUUUGGUUAUCCACUGGACCAUGGACAGGGUCAUGGCAAUCCCAAAUGUGUUGCCCAGGCAGAUGUGGCUAUUGGGAGACAGAGAGUUGAGGGGUCUAAGCAGACACAAAUGGAGUCAGGACAUGAUGGCAUUGCUUUCGUCCCUUCAGCUAUGUGAGUGGGGCUGGGAGACACAGAGCAGGGAAACACUUGUGUGGUCUAAUCAGCAAUGCUACCAGAAAGCCUCCUGUGCCCUUUACUUCUGUGACUAGCAAUUGAACUUUCUGUCAGCCCAUUUCCAGAGUUCACGGUCUGUGCAGUACUUGGGGGGCAGGCGGACCAGGCAGCUUAUUGGCUAAGAAUAUCAACUGAGGGGCUGGAGAAGGCUCAGUGGUUAAAAGCUCUUACCGCCCUUGCAGAGGACCUGGUUUGGUUUCCAGCACCUACAUGACAGCUCUCAUCCGUUUAGAACUCUAGUUGCAGAGGAUCUGACACACCUCUUCUCACCUCUGAGGGUUCCCAUUUGCAUGGAGAGCACAUACAUACUCAUGUACACACACACACACACACACACACACACACACACACACACACACACACGAUAAAAUGUUUGUAAAGAAAGCUGAGUCAGAGUACCCUGGCUUGUACUACCCUGUAACACAAAUAAAUUAUGACUCAGAGACAGACAUUUGGGUUCAAGCUUCAAGCUGAAUGUCAGAAAAGCAAAGCAACUGGCCACUAGCUUCUGACCUCUGCCUCAGGCUGAAUGGGUUGGUCCUGUCUCCACGAGUUCUUACCAAGCCUCAAACUGUAACCUCCCUCAGUGUGGCUGGAGAAGGAAUGCCUCUCUGAGGCCUUGCUUCUGUUUUAUAUACUUCCCUAAUGUUGGGAUUAAAGGUGUGAGCUAUAAUUCUCUUUUAGAAUGAUUCACUCUUGUGUAGAUCUGGGUGGCCUUGGGUUCACAGAGAUUCAUCUAUCUCUUAAUCCUGAGUCCUAGGAUUAAAGGAAACAAAGAGAAAAGAAGAAGGGUUUGAGACUUCGAAAUUCCUUUGAAGACACACUUCUGGAGACCUAAGGACCUUCUGAAGAUCUACUUCCUGAAGGUUCCAUCACUUCCUAGUAGGACCCUACCCUGUGAACCAAGCCUUUAACUUGGGGCCUUUGGGGGACAGUCAAUGUGUAAACUCUAGCACACAGUCAGUGAUCACUUAAUAGUGGGUAUCCUUCAUGCCACUCUGUCUUCUCAGGGCUGGAGAACACCUUGGGAUUCAUAUGGUGUGAUUCAGCCUGGCUCUUAGAGUUGCAGGUAUAGACAUGUUUAGUAAUUUGAUAUCUUUUGUCUCCGAUAAAAUCUAGUACCUGUAAAUGUCUUCUUGGACGAACACAUGUAUUGGUUUAAAUCUGGAAUGUCCCAAAUAGGCUCAUGGUCUCAAUAUUUGGCCUCCAGCUUGUGUUAAAAUUUUGAAGACUGUGAAGCCUUUAUGAGGUGGGAGCUGGCUGGUGGAAGCAGGGUAUGAAGCUUUUCAGAGUGUAAACCAUCUAGCACUUUCUGUUUCCUGGCUCAUCCCCUUGCGAGGGGCCUCCAUUGCAUGCUCUUUGUUCUGAGUGCUACAAGGCUUUCUCUGCCAUGAACUAAAAUCUCUCUGGCAGAGUAAACCUCUCUUGUUUCUGUCACAGUGACAUGGGACAUACAGAAAAUUAGUAUUGGGAGUGGGACUGUUGCUAUAGGAAACCCAGGUAUGUGAUUCUUAAUCUUUUAGAAGUGGUUUUCAGAAGGACCACGUAAGAGCGGAGAUUCGGACUGGAGAAGCUCACAGAUGCUGUAAGUAGAGCUUAUUGUGCAAAUCUGGUGGCCUUCUGAAGACCAACCUGUGGCAGACAUGCACACUGUAGGGUUUAUACUCAUGUGUUUUCAAAUGGGAACACAGAUCUUACUGAAAAUUGAUGUUGCAUUCUGGCAAAAAUCUGGCCACGCUCUGCCUAUAGUCUAAACAUUUGAGUGAGGCCGGAUUCAAGAAUAAAAGAUUAAUUUAUUUGGUGGAUGAAAUUGCAUGACUGCAUAGCAUCCAGGCUGAGGAUGCUUUUAGCUAGAUUUGCAAAUGAGAUCUAGAGCAAAAGGAUAUGGAAAAUGUAGUUUGGUGAGUGAGGCGGUGAAAGUUUGUUUACAGUGUGGGCUGCUAAAGAACUCAACCAUGAAGAAAACCCACAUUGGGUAGCUCACAACUGCCUGGAAGUCCAGUUGCAGCAGGAUCCAGUGCCUCUAGCUUCUUUGGCACCUGUUCUCUUGUUCGUACGUACAUCUACUCACACACAUAUGAACAUUAAAAAUAAAAAAAUAGACCUUAAAGAAAGAAGCCCCAAAUUUCACCCAAACAACAGGUGCUUUGAGGGCCCAUCCAUCAAAGGAUUAAGAAGCAAAAAUGCAAAUUUCACAUGGAAGACUUCAGCAGAGAAUUCCUGAAAAUGUAAGGCACCUAGGAUGUCCUGCUUGCAGACAGCCAUCUAGAGAAGUGCUUGCCCAGAUUUGGUGGUUCGGGCAUUCAAAGGCCACUGGAGUCAUGGUCCAAAGGUACCAGGCUACAUCUUGAGAUGUGGUGAUGCUCUAGUUUCUGUCUAGCUCUUUCUGCUUCUUGAUGUACUGAGAUGUGAGUCUUAGCCACAUGCUUCCACUGCUGUGAGCACAGCUGUGUCUUCUCUGCCGUGACGGACAGAAAUGCCUCUGAAACCACAAGCUCAAAUAAAUAUUUCCUCAUUUACGCUGUGUCUGUUGGGUAAUAUGUGACCACAAUGCACAAAAUAGCUAACAUGCCAUGGAAAUGCAGUUAGGGGGAGUGGGGUGGGCCCCAGGAGACUCAUGAGGCCAGGUGCAUUGGGCCUUGGUGCUCCUGCCUCUAACUCCCAAGCUCAUUGUGACUGGUUGCUGUAUACAUGAUUGCUGUCACUGACAGUAGCCACAAGGGCUGGGCUAGCAACAUGACUGGCCUGAGGGCCUCUCUAGUGCCUCCUUGGGAAUCCUUUCAUAUCCCUUUUCUUCUGAAAAGAAACGUCUCCUAGAGCAUGGAGGCCUCCUAUUCAUGGACAGUCCAGCACUAUCAGAGCCAUUUUGAACGGACUAGGAGAUCCCAAAGAGCUUAGCUCUAUGGCUUUCUCUCCUUCCUGUCUACUCUGGUUUGUGAACCAACUUCCUGCCAGUAGCUCACAGUAUAAUCAGUUGGAUGGUCAACAGGGUUUUUCUCCCUGGGGAGACACAGAUAUCUACCUCAGGGGACUGCUUCCGUAGGAUGGGGCUCUUUAAAGGCAGUUGGCUUAUAGUGAUACAGUGACCCCCCAUUUAUUUUUUCAUUUUUAGUGUAUGAACAGUUUGUCUUCAUGUAUAUCUGUUUACCACACGUGUGCCUGGUGCCUGUGGAGGUCAGAUGAAGGCAUCAUAUCCCCUGGAACUGGAGUUACAGGUGGUUGUGAGCCACUAUGUGGGUGCUGAGAAUGAACCUUGGUCUUCCUCAAGAGCAGGCAGUACUCUUAACCACUGAGCCAUCUCUCCAGUCCCUACCCACUUCUUUCUUUGUUCAGUUAGGGGCAAUUUACAAUCCUUCCAAAAUCUCAUUUCCUUUUUUUUGAUUAGAUUUCUUCUUGAUUUUCCCAUAAUUAAAUAAUGUUUGUUAACAACAAUAUUAGCCAGUGUACUAAUUGGGCAAUUUUCAUACAUUAUCUGUAAUCCACACCACAACCUGACUAAUUUUAUAGAUGAGAGGAGUGACGCUCAGAGAGAUCAGUGAUUGGCUAUCAACAUGCUGCUGAUAAUUUUUCGUGGCUUUACCUCAGGAGGAUGGGAAUUUUUCUUUUCAUUGGAAAUGAAAAAGAAAAUGUUUUCAUUUAUCUUUUGCUUCUUAAAUUUUCAAAACUGGCUCUCAAAACCCUUUUUGAGACUGUAGGUGGGAAAGCCAAAUACUUGGAUUCUCACAAACCUAGGUUUUGAGAGGAUGUGAUGGCUAAUCUUGGGUGUCAACUUGACUACAUUUGGAAGUAACUAAAAGCCAAGCAGCUGGGCACCUGUGAAGGAUUUUUCUUGGAUGGAUUAUUGUAGGUGGGAAGCCCAUUGUAAACGAUUCAUAAAUCCAUUUUUGAUAUUUAACUAUGUUAGUUUAUUCUAUCGGUUCUGUUUCUUCGAGAACACUGGCUUGUUUGUAUGCUUGAUACAUCAGAAAGCAGAGCCCUUUAUGUGAAAAGGCUUACAGCUUAUCUAUCCAUUUGGAAAGGGGGCUAAGAAAGGGUUUGUGUGCCAGGUAGUGGUGGCCCAGAACUCUUGGGAAGCAAAGGCAGGAGAUUUCUGUGAGUUUGAGGCCAGCCUUGUCUACAGACCUAGUUCUAGGACAGCCAAGGUCACACACACACACACACACACACACACACACAC